rnacentral:rRNA from 1 species
AAACCAGCACCUCAAGUGGUCAGGAUGAUUAUUGGGCCUAAAGCAUCCGUAGCCUGUUCUGUAAGUUUCCGGUUAAAUCCAUUAGCUCAACUAAUGGGCCGCCGAAAAUACUGUAGAACUAGGGAGUGGGAGAGGUAGACGGUAUUCGGUAGGAAGGGGUAAAAUCCUUUGAUCUAUUGAGGACCACCUGUGGCGAAGGCGGUCUACCAGAACACGUUCGACGGUGAGGGAUGAAAGCUGGGGGAGCAAACCGGAUUAGAUACCCGAGUAGUCC